GACUCUCGGCAACGGAUAUCUCGGCUCAYGCAUCGAUGAAGAACGUAGCAAAAUGCGAUACUUGGUGUGAAUUGCAGAAUCCCGUGAACCAUCGAGUUUUUGAACGCAAGUUGCGCCCGAAGCCAUCCGGUUGAGGGCACGCCUGCCUGGGCGUCACGCAUCCU
rnacentral:rRNA from 1 species